AGUAAAUAGAUACCCCGGUAGUCCACGCCGUAAACGAUGAGUACUAGGUGUAGGAGGUAUCGACUCCUUCUGUGCCGCAGUUAAACACAAUAAGUACUCCGCCUGGGAAGUACGGUCGCAAGAUUAAACUACAAAGGAAUUGACGGGGGCCCGGCACAAGCAGCGGAGCAUGUGGUUUAAAUUUCGAAGCAACGCGAAGAACCUUACCUAGACUUGACAUCUCCUGAAUAGUGUAGAGAUACAUGAAGCCCUUCGGGGUCGAGGAAGACAGGUGGUGCAUGGUUGUCGUCAGCUCGUGUCGUGAGAUGUUGGGUUAAGUCCCGCAACAGCGC
rnacentral:rRNA from 1 species